GUGACUAGAAGAGCAGAGAGGGGGAUGUUCUCUGGCUGUUGAUUAGGAUCCUCCCAACACUGAAUUCAGGUGUAGGAUUCAGAGGGCUUUUGAUUUCUCUCCCUCUUAAUUGUUCUUGAAGGCUCAGAAGUUUCUCAGGCUGACGAAAACUGUGGAAAGAUCCAUCCAGGGAAAUUAUGCUCAAUUAACUUUGUUCCCAAUUAUUUCAACGCCACAGAUGAAGAAAAAAUGGUUUAAAAAGUUUGCGAGGAGGAACAGCACCUUCAUUCCUGCUUGCAUGGCAACAACAGCUGCAUUCACAUGAAAAGGCCAGCUUGUUAAACAUCAUGUAACACUGAAUGUACUGAAUAUUUUAAAGGUCAGGUAUUGACAGGCACUGAGCUGCUUAUGUUUCCCUAAUGACCCCAAUUACAUCCAAG
rnacentral:lncRNA from 1 species